rnacentral:pre_miRNA from 1 species
UCUAAAGAAGUUAUUCGCUACAAGUUAACAAGAUGACCGGGCAUUGUACACUCAAUGACCUCACAAUAAGCACCAUUUCAUCAAAAAAUUACUACUACCUCCGUCUAAAAAUAAGUGUCUUAGUUUUGUCUAGAUUCAGAUGUAUCUAAACAUAUUUUAGUUGUAGAUACAUCCGUAUCUAGAAAAAGUUGAGACACUUAUUUUUGUACGGAGGGAGUAGAAUAUUUGUUAUGAAACCCAGGACAUGAGUUGUUAUCAUACAAUCUUGUGGUACAUGAAGAGAUAACAAAACGAAGAAGU